UUUUAUUUGCGUUAGCGAUUGCAACGGCAUCCUUUUUUUGCUGCCAUAUAUGGCAAAAAAAGAUAUAGUGUAAAGCGCGACCAAAA
rnacentral:sRNA from 1 species